rnacentral:lncRNA from 1 species
GUGACAGGGUUUGGCUUUGUUACCCAGGUGGAGGGCAGUGGCAGGAUCUCAGCUCACUACAACCUCCAUCUCCUACAUCCUACAUCUCCUACAUCUCCAUCUCACUACAACCUCCCACAACACGCCGGGGUUGUUUUUGUAUUUUUUGUAGAGACAGGGUUUUGCCAUAUUGUCCAGGCUGGUCUUUAACUCCUGGGCUCAAGCGAUCUGCCUGCCCUGGCCUCCCACAGUGUUAGGACUACAGGCAUGAGCCACUGCACCCAGCCAAGUAUCAGCUUUUAAUAAAACUGCAUCUCACUGUUGAAUUGACGUAACACCGAUCAGAAUACAGAUGCAUUAGGAGGCUUCUUUUAAACCAAGCCCUUCUGCUAUUAACCUUCUGAUGAUUUUUCUCCUACUACCUUGCUGUUUUUACAGGCCCACUAAUUUGCCUGCUUGACUAAAAUAAGGACGAGUUAUGUGCUGAUGAGAGACAUGUUUGUAAUGUUAUUCGUUGUGACACAGUUCAAAAGAAUUUGCCUUUGAUUCUCACUAAAAUGUAAAGUUUUGCAUAUUAAGAUCCUUUUUCAACAACUGAGCAACUCUUUAUAAUGAAGGGCAGAAGACGCCAAAGGGAAGAAAAUAUUUACCUUUGUGGGCUUUUACUUUCUUUCCUGGGAAUGGUAGGCCAUAGCUAUUGGUAUGUUUUUUUGUUGUUGUUGUUGUUGUUGUUGUUGUUUUUUGAGAAGGAGUCUCUGUCGCCCAGGCUGUAGUGUAGUGGCAUGAUCUCGACUCACUGCAACCUUCACCUCGGGUUCAAGCGAUUCCCCUGCCCCAGCCUCCUGAGUGGCUGAGAUUACAGGCACCCACCACCAGGCCCGGCUAAUUUUUGUAUUUUUAGUAGAGAUGGGGUUUCACCAUGUUGGUAAGGCUGGUCUCCAACUCCUGACCUCGGGUGAUCCUCCCGCCUCGGUCUCCCAAAGCGCUGGGAUUACAGGCAUGAGCCAGCGCCUACCACCGCUAUUGGUACUUUCACACGGAUGCUAAAGUUAUUGUGCUGGCCGUGUUAAGGGUCAGGCAUCAAAAUGGCCGCUCAAGAGAAUGAAGCUUUCUCUUUGUGCAGAUGCAACGGGUGGGAUGGGGUGCACAAUUAUCACAGUGCUGGUUGUGGUGUUACCUCGACAUUCUGCCUUACAGCUGAGGAGGGAUUUGUUUCGUCCCUGCUAAUGAAGGUGUUAAAUAAACUUGGAUGCUGUUAUUGAAGCUUAAAAAAUAAAUGGAAGCUGGGUGCGAUGGCUCAAGCCUGGAAUCCCAGCACUUUGAGAGACCGAGAUGGGAGGAUUGCUUGAGCUCAGGAGUUCAAGACCAGCCUAGACAACAUGGCAACACCCUGUCUCUACAAAAAAUUACAAAAAGUAGCCAGGCGUGGUGAUGUGCACCUGUAGCUAUGUGUACCUGUAGUCCCACACAGUCGGGAGGCUGAGGUGGGAGCCUCCCUUGAGCCUGGCAGGUCAAGGCUGUGAUGAGCCACGAUCAUGCCACUGCACUCCAGCCUGGGUGUGACAGUGAGAUCCCUUCUUAAGAAAAAAAAAAAAAAGAAAAAAAAGAAAUUGAACACUUACCAGUAGAAAGCAAACAGGGAGCUCAGACUCAGAAAGUGUAGAUUGCACUAAAUACUGAAGGGUUCUCACUUUAAAGACUCCAUGGAUAAGGAGUGGCUUCAGGAAAGCUCUUGAACAUUUAGGAACAUGUAAGUUUGCACUGCAUGAGACUUAGAUUCAUUAUCUGACUCAGGAAAUUGGGAUGUAACUAAUUAUCCCUCAAAAUAUCUAACAGGAAUGGAGUCUCCUCAGUCAAAAAGAAAAAGAACAAGGUUGAUAUUUUAUUCCUUUUUUGAAUUAUAGUAUAUUUGUUGUAGAGCCAUUAGGUGCUUUAGAGAUAUUUGACUUUUGACAUAUAACAUACAUAAUAAAGUGUGUAAAAGGUACUGGUCUAAAGUGUACUGCUCAAGGAGAAUCACUUGAACCCAGGAGGCUGAGGUUGCAGUGAGCCGAGAUCGUGCCGCUGCACUCCAACCUGGGUGACAGAAUGAGACCCUGUCUCCAAAAAGAUAAAUAAAUAAAUAAAUAAAUAAAUAAAUAAAGUGUACUCCUCAGUGAAACUUUGCAUGCGUGUAUACCAUGUGACCAUCACCUGAGUCAAGAUGUAGAUUUCCAGCACUCCAGAGGAUUUCCUCUUGCCCCUUCUGUUCAGAAUUCAUCGUACCUCCAACAUGAAGGUAACCACAUUGUGAUUUUUAAAAAACUCCAUCCACUAGUUUUGUCUUGUAAGUUCCGUAUAAAUAGUGUCAUAUAGUGGGAACUCUUGUGUGUGUCUUUCAUUCACACAUAUAGACAGGCACUAGAAUUUCAUAGGCAUAACAUAAAGUCUAUGAGAUUCAUCCACAAGGUUGUGCAUAUCAGUAGUUCUAAUCUCUUGCUGAGAAUCAUUCCAUUGUAUGCAUAUAUCACAGUUUGUUUCUCCAUUUUCCUGUUGGCUCUUUGGAUUGUUUUCAGUUUGGGGCUAAUACGAAUAAAGCAGCCAUGAACAUUCUUGCUUAUGUCUUUUGGUGCACAUGCCCAAUCAUGUCUCUGAACAUAUGCUCAGGAGAGGAAUUGUAGGGUCAUAGGUAGGCACAUAUUUAGCUUUAGUAGAUAUUGCCAAACAGUUUCCCAAAGGGGUUGUACCAACUUAAAUUUCCCCAGUAGUGUAUGAGUGUUACCCAGUUAGUGGCUCUACAUUUUAAUGAACACUUGGUGUUAUCUGUCUUUUAAAUUUUAGCUACUUUGCUGGGUGUACAGUGGUAUCUUUGUGGGUUUUUAAAAACGUAUUUUAUUGUAAUUGUGGGAAAAUAUGUAUAUUUAGAAUUUACCAUCUUAACCUUUUUUUUUUUUUGAGACAGAGUGCUGCAGUGUGGUGGUGCGAUCUUGGCUCACUACAGCCUCUGCCUCCUGGGUUCAAGCAAUUCUCCUACCUCAGCCACCUAAGUAGCUGAAAUUACAGACGGGCACCACCAUGCCUGGCUAAUUUUUUGUAUUUUUAGUAGAGAUGAGGUCUCACUAUGUUGGCCAGGCUGAUGCUGAACUCCUGACCUCAGGUGAUCCACCUGCCUCAGCCCACCAAAGUGCUGGGAUUACAGGCGUGAGCCACUGCACCCGGCCAACUGUUUUUGAGUGUACGGUUAGUAGCAUUAAGUACAUUCAACUUGUUAUCUAACCUUCACCACCACUCAUCUCCAGAACUCUUCAUUUUGCAAAACUGAAACUGUACCCAUUAAACAGUAAUUACCCAAGUCCCACUUCCUUAGCUACUGGCAACCACCAUUCUACCUUCUGUGUCCGUGGAUUUGACUAUACACCUCAUAUAAGCUAGAUCAUGUAGCGUUUGCCUUUUGUGACUGGCUUAUUUAACUUAGAUAAUGUCCUCAAGUUUUAGCCAUGUUAUAGCAUGUAUUAGAAUUUAGCAGUUUCAAGGAGAAAUAAUAUUCUAUUGUAUGUAUAUGCCACAUUUUGUUAAUCCAUUCAUUUGUCAAUGGACACUUGGGUCUUCACCUUUUGGCUAUUUGUGAAUAAUGCUGCUCUGAACCAUUAUUGUACAGAUAACCUCUUCAAGUCCUUGCUUUCAGUUCUUUUGGGCAUAUACCCAGAAGUGGAAUUGCUGGAUCAUAUGGUAAUUCUAUUUUUAUUUUUAUUUAAAAAGCUUCUAAAGAUAGGGUCAGCCGGGCACGUGGCUCACACCUGUAAUCCCAGCAUUUUGGGAGGCCUAGGAGGGCGGAUCACCUGAGGUCAGGAGUUCGAGACCAGCCUGACCAACAUGGUGAAACCCCAUCUUUACUAAGAAUAGAAAAAUUAGUCA